CCUACGGGAUGCAGCAGGGAUGAAUAUUGGACAAUGGGCGCAAGCCUGAUCCAGCCAUGCCGCGUGCAGGAAGACGGUCCUAUGGAUUGUAAACUGCUUUUAUACAGGAAGAAACACCUCUACGUGUAGAGACUUGACGGUACUGUAUGAAUAAGCAUCGGCUAACUCCGUGCCAGCAGCCGCGGUAAUACGGAGGAUGCAAGCGUUAUCCGGAAUCAUUGGGUUUAAAGGGUCCGUAGGCGGUUUAAUAAGUCAGUGGUGAAAGCCCAUCGCUCAACGAUGGAACGGCCAUUGAUACUGUUAAACUUGAAUUAUUAGGAAGUAACUAGAAUAUGUAGUGUAGCGGUGAAAUGCUUAGAGAUUACAUGGAAUACCAAUUGCGAAGGCAGGUUACUACUAAUAUAUUGACGCUGAUGGACGAAAGCGUGGGGAGCGAACAGGAUUAGAUACCCUGGUAGUCCACGCCGUAAACGAUGAUACUAGCUGUCGUAGACAUAUGNGNGNGUAGACGAAGUAGAGUAAGUAUACCACCGUCGGAGGUACGUUCGUACGAGAAGAGAAACGUAACGAAAGUAAGUAAGUUAGUACGGACGUAGAGACGUUACGACCGACGGACGACCGACGACGGGGAGGGAGGAG
rnacentral:rRNA from 1 species